UACGUAGGGUGCAAGCGUUGUCCGGAAUUAUUGGGCGUAAAGAGCUCGUAGGCGGUCUGUUGCGUCGGCUGUGAAAACCCGGGGUUCAACUCCGGGCCUGCAGCCGAUACGGGCAGACUAGAGUUCGGCAGGGGAGACUGGAAUUCCUGGUGUAGCGGUGAAAUGCGCAGAUAUCAGGAGGAACACCGGUGGCGAAGGCGGGUCUCUGGGCCACAACUGACGCUGAGGCGCGAAAGCUAGGGGAGCAAACAGG
rnacentral:rRNA from 1 species